rnacentral:lncRNA from 1 species
CAUGGGUAAAGGAGCUAUCAUUAAUCAAACAAGUAGAAUGGAUCUUAACCACCAGCUAUGGGAUAUAUUUCAGGCAAACUAAUUGGGACAAAAAGGAAUGUGUUAGUUAUUAGGGUAGACCUUUUUGGGGACCCAGGAGGGCUCUGGGAUGGGUGAAAGAACUUACUGCAGGAUCAAAUUAGGAUGACCUGAAGUACAGUGGGUAAGUGCCUUCUUCCAAGAGGGGGACAUAGACAGAGAAAAGACAGAAGCAGUUACAGGAAAUAUAUGAGAAUCCUGGCAGAAUAUUAGCACUGGGGCCAACCUGAGUCUACUCCGGGCUUAGGAGUCUAAAAGUUCCUUCCAGUAACCAAUUCAGAUAGGAUGGAGAGAGGGAAAAGAAAGGAUAACUGAUGCCCUGCAAGCUGUGCCAGAUUGGACAAGGAGAACCAGUCUGUGGCUCUGCCAUUCCACUAAUUUUUCCACUAUUUCAACAUCUUUUGUUUUUCCUUUAAUUUCCCAAUAAAGUUCCUUUGGGAAAGUUCAAACCUCAUCUUCUUCAUAUUAAGGGACCUCUAAGCCAAGACGAUGAACGAGAGAAACCCAGCAGGAUGGUGCUGGCUGGCAUUGCCUGGACCAAGGCUGAAGGAGCUGAGCAAGAUAGGAGCAGAGAUCCGAGGAAAUCCCAAAGCCACCCCAGCCCCCAACAAAGGCGGGGGCAUCAAAGAGGAGCUGAAGGUGGGCAGGGCAAGAGAAGACUUAGGGAGAGGCCCAGCUCCUCAAAUGACUUUUGGCUUACCCCAUCAAUUCCUCAAAUGACUUUUGGCUUAUCCUGUCUCUCAACCUACUCUUGGUUAAACUGAGGCAACAAUGGGCAGGAAGGGUGCUUUGGGCAUUUUAGGCAAAUUGAAGAAGUCACUGGCUUUUUAGGAUAUGGGGGAGUGGGUUGGGAGGCAACAGGUCCACUUCCCAUCCCAUUUGGGUAAGGAGGAGUCAGUCACCUGGCCUGACUCAAAGCCUGUGAGACACACCAGGAGGUGGGAAUGGGGGUAUCACUGAAACACAGGUUAGCUAGGGGUGGUUUGUCAAGAGACUCCUGUGGGAAUGGGAGUCACCAGGUUUAAAUGCAAUUAACUCAAUUUAUAGUGCUUGAAGGGUUACAAAACACUUUCCUCAAAGGACCCUAUAAGGUAGGUAGUGCAAAUUUUAUUAUCCCCAUUUUCCAGAUGAAGAAACAGACUUGAAGAAGUGACUUGCCCAAGGUCACACAGCUAAUAAGUGCUAGGCUAUCCAGGUCUUUCUGAUUGCAUACAAGUUUAAUACUUUCUGCUGCAUGCUAUAGAUAGCCUUCCAGGGUGACAUCAUUUGGGACUAGAACCAUUCUAGAGCAGUAAAAGCCUAUAGUUUCUCCCAAUCACAGGCUUCAAUCACAGGUUGGGUGACCACUUUUCAAGGAUUUUGUAGGUAAGGUUCCCAUCCAGGUAGGAGAUUUCUUUUAGCUGUGAGAUUCUGUGCUUCUCAGGUCUCAUAUUCAAAGGCGAAGCCCUUCCUAGGUGUGGGCCUGUUGAGGAAAGGAGGCAUUUUUCUAUGCUGGUUGCCAAUUACCUCAUCUAAACCAUUUCCACCCCCAGUGCUCUGUGCAUUGAUUGGGGGUCUGAGGUGCCCUAGGAAGUCAGACUCUGCUAGAAGGGAGAGUGAGACCUACACUGUUAUUAUUCCCCUGUCGGCAGUGGAGGGAAUAACAGGUAUCUGAGCUCUUGGAUAUCCUGCCCACCUAUCUGGCUUCACUUGGCAUGUAUCUCUGUACCUGCUAAAAGGACCAUUCCUCUCAUCUCCAUAGACUUUGUCUUGCUUGCCUCUGUG